rnacentral:rRNA from 1 species
AGAACGAACGCUGGCGGCAUGCCUAACACAUGCAAGUCGAACGCUCUUGGGGCUUCGGUUCCAAGGGAGUGGCGCACGGGUGAGUAGCGCGUGGGAACCUGCCCUGGAGUGGGGGAUAACCGAGGGAAACUUCGGCUAAUACCGCAUGCGCCCGGGAAACCGGGGAAAGAUUUAUCGCUCUAGGAGGGGCCCGCGUCGGAUUAGCUAGUUGGUGGGGUAACGGCCUACCAAGGCUUUGAUCCGUAGCUGGUCUGAGAGGAUGAUCAGCCACACUGGGACUGAGACACGGCCCAGACUCCUACGGGAGGCAGCAGUGGGGAAUAUUGGACAAUGGGCGCAAGCCUGAUCCAGCAAUGCCGCGUGAGUGAUGAAGGCCUUCGGGUUGUAAAGCUCUUUCGCACGCGAGGAUGAUGACGCUAGCGUGAGAAGAAGCCCGGCUAACUCGUGCCAGCAGCCGCGU